UACGGGGGGAGCAAACGUUGUUCGGAAUCACUGGGCGUAAAGGGCGUGUAGGCGGCUGAAUAAGUGGGAUGUUAAAUCCCCGGGCUCAACCCGGGACCUGCAUCUCAUACUGUUCAGCUCGAGCACAUCAGAGGAGACUGGAAUUCUCGGUGUAGCAGUGAAAUGCGUAGAUAUCGAGAGGAACAACAGUGGCGAAGGCGAGUCUCUGGACGACUCCUGACACUGAGGCACGAAAGCUAGGGGAGCAAACAGG
rnacentral:rRNA from 1 species